rnacentral:piRNA from 1 species
AGGACAGUUUGGUAGUCUUCAUUUGAGC